AUUGAACGCUAGCGGGAUGCUUUACACAUGCAAGUCGAACGGCAGCGCGGACUUCGGUCUGGCGGCGAGUGGCGAACGGGUGAGUAAUGUAUCGGAACGUGCCCAGUAGUGGGGGAUAACUCCGCGAAAGCGUAGCUAAUACCGCAUACGACCUGCGGGGGAAAGCGGGGGAUCGUAAGACCUUGCGCUAUUGGAGCGGCCGAUGGCGGAUUAGCUAGUUGGUGGGGUAAAGGCCUACCAAGGCGACGAUCCGUAGCUGGUCUGAGAGGACGACCAGCCACACUGGGACUGAGACACGGCCCAGACUCCUACGGGAGGCAGCAGUGGGGAAUUUUGGACAAUGGGCGCAACCCUGAUCCAGCCAUGCCGCGUGUGUGAUGAAGGCCUUCGGGUUGUAAAGCACUUUUGGCAGGAAAGAAACGUCGCGGGCUAAUACCACGUUGAGAUGACGGUACCUGCAGAAUAAGCACCGGCUAACUACGUG
rnacentral:rRNA from 1 species